rnacentral:rRNA from 1 species
AACGAACGCUGGCGGCAUGCCUAACACAUGCAAGUCGAACGAGACCUUCGGGUCUAGUGGCGCACGGGUGCGUAACGCGUGGGAACCUGCCCUUAGGUUCGGAAUAACUCCCCGAAAGGGGUGCUAAUACCGGAUAAUGUCUUCGGACCAAAGAUUUAUCGCCUUUGGAUGGGCCCGCGUUGGAUUAGCUAGUUGGUAGGGUAAAAGCCUACCAAGGCGACGAUCCAUAGCUGGUCUGAGAGGAUGAUCAGCCACACUGGGACUGAGGCACGGCCCAGACUCCUACGGGAGGCAGCAGUGGGGAAUAUUGGACAAUGGGCGAAAGCCUGAUCCAGCAAUGCCGCGUGAGUGAUGAAGGCCUUAGGGUUGUAAAGCUCUUUUACCCGGGAUGAUAAUGACAGUACCGGGAGAAUAAACUCCGGCUAACUCCGU